GUUUCUAUCUAUGAAGUGUUUUCUUCCAGUACGAAAGGAUAGAAGAAAAAAGGUUAAUGCUUAAGGUAAACCUUACCCCUACCUAAUGAAAACAACUUAAUUAGGCAAAAGGGACCACACCCAUGCCAAAGAUAAUAGCU
rnacentral:rRNA from 1 species